UUAAUUUGAAUCUUUAGUUCAACCAGUUUUAUAGAGUAUAACUCUUCAGUUAGGAACAAAAGCCUACAUUUACAAUUCCAUGCAGCUAAUCAAAUUCUACCCCUCCUCCAUUGUCCUGCCAUUGUAUUAACAGUCAGCAACAUUCCAGCCAGUGAAAUGGACACACCAGACUAGAUAUUGGCACGAGCUGUGGAAGGAGAUGCAUGAGUCAAGCUGUUAUGGCCCCUGUUGUAUGAGUUUUUAUUCAAGCUGAGAAUACAAAAUGAACCAAAGAGAAAAAGUCAGAAUGCUUAGAGUAAUAUGUGUAAAUUAACUCUGUGCAAACUGUGUGCAUUGGUGUUGAGAGAAUGCAGGCAAAGCAGCGAGUGCCCCUCUGGAAGGUGAGAGACACUGAAGCUCACAUGAGCUCUUUCUCCUAUUACAGAAGGAUUAAAUGUCACUGUGGCCACAGACUCCCAGUGAGUUAUGAUUCACAUUUAUUUAAACAGAAAACAGACAUAUCUGUAUUUAUCUCCACAUAGAUAGAUAAUACAUACCUUUGAUUUAUUUAUAAUUUAUAGAUAGAUUUCUUUAUUACCUAUGGACAAACAGAAGAGAAUAAUUUCAUAAAGCUAUACUUUCAAAAAGAAUAAUUUCAAGUAGAGUACAUCCAUGGCAUAUGCUGAAAAUAGAAAAUAAGUGUCAGCUUAUUAAACUUCUAUUUUGAUGACCCUUAUGGUUUUAUA
rnacentral:lncRNA from 1 species